UGUGGAUGGUAGGGACCUAAAAAUAACUUCUUAGCAUUUCAGGGACUUUUUAUUCAACUUGAAAAGUCAAAAAACUUAAAAAUAAUUUCGAAUGCAUUCAUAUAAAUAAUUUUUCUAUACAAUAACUAAUAUCAUAUAUUUUGUUUGCCUGCUUUUAGUCUCCAAAUAUCCAUCAUCAACAGCCCUUAUCUUCUUGUUUUUUUAAUGAAUAAAACUUGAGGGUUUCCCCGACGUGGGGGCGAGCCUUGUUCUCAUUGUGGGUGACCUCAUCCUCGCUGCUGGGUUGCUGAAUUGUUCGUCGCCCACGCGGUUGAGGGAGAUGGUCUCAGCCCGUCGCAGAAGCCAACAAAUUCCAACGCCUUUCGGCGGUCACUUGGGCGAGGCGUUAUCCGCGGUUUGUAGAGGAGACCACUCUUAAGGUUUGAACGGAGCGACCACUGAACCGUCCCCUUCUCGUAUUAUUUUAACGAGAGGUGUAGACAGGGAGAUAAUUAAUGGUAAUGUCCGUCGUGAUGAAAUGUGGCGUAUGAUCACGAUAUCUACUCUCGUGUUACUCGUGUCUUCAUCCAUCCAUCACAGGGCCCCACCUCAUUUAUGUAUUCUAGGGCUUUCUGUUGGAUUUUUUAUGAGAUGCUGGUAGCAUCUUUUCCACCAACGGAGAUGGGAGGGAAACUCUCACACCC
rnacentral:lncRNA from 1 species